CUCAUCCUUGGGUUUCCCCAUCUUAGGAGGAGAAGGCUGGACUAGCGAGACCUUCGGAGUCAGGCCUGCACCACUCAGCAGGUCUCAGCGCUCAUGUGUGAGUGACCCACCAUGAGAUGUCUUUUCCUCUAGAUCUUCACACGCAGACCCCUUCUCAUCAUUCUGGUUGCAGCCUGAAUGUUGUCUCCUCAGAGCAGUCACCUGGAGCUCUGGCUAAAGUCAGCCUCACCCGGUUCAUCCCAGUUGAGGUUCGUCACCACUGUCACCAGCUGGAAUCAUCUGCUUCCUGAUUUGCUGCUAUGUUUCUGGUCUGUCUUCCCCUGUGAAGGCAGAGCCUCAUGGGUGUUGCUCAUCAUUUCGUCUCAGUGCCUGGUGCAGACAAGGCUGAAGCAAAGCACAAGGGAGGUUCCGAGGCUGCAGGCUCCUCACGCCGAGGAGUCAGCCACCCCCGUGUGCCAUGGAAAUGCAGGCAUGUGAGGCUGUGGUUCUUCAGGAGGGACACAGGGAGCAGCCAGACCUGGGGAAAGAUUCAGUGGAAUGACCCCCGAAACCUGGCAUUUGGGGGCUUCUCUACCCCGGCCAGUCAAGCCUCUGGGACCUGAAGAGCCCCCUCACACUCCUCAUGACAACCAUGACAACCUCAUGACAACUAACAGCAAAGGCAGCGGUUUUUUGAAAAUGUGUCUUUUGGUGACCAAUCCCAAGGGAUCAUUCACUUUCUGGCCUGGAGACAAGAAAGGGAAGACCUCCCCCAACACCCCCUUUCCCUGCUACAGGUCACCCAGAGGCAUAAUGUAUAGACCUCCUAAAUCCCCUCCCUUAUCCCUCUAGACAUCUCUCUGGACAGCGCGACAGUGAGUCUGUCCCCCUGGCGGCAGCUGGAUCAUUAACUGUGAGGUUUAUCACGGGUGAUAGGAUUGAGCUCUGUGCUUCACGUUGUUGUUGGAAGGGAGAUAAAAGAGGUCUUGGGAGCCAUGAGUCCCCGACUUUCCCUUCUACCCCACUUUCCAGAGCAGCUGGAUACAGGGAAAGUCACUCACACACUCCUCCUUGCUGGCCGCUGUGCACAUGGUUUUGUCAUGCAUGUCACCCUAACACCAGAUUACUUUCCCCAAGACAUGCCAGGAUCAUUUCUUCUAGCCCAGCUGUGUUCGAACUAGCCCUUCACCAAGUGGUUCAGUUUCCUUGGUGGGGCCUGUAUGAUUGUGAGGGGCUGGGGGAAGUCUGGAGGCGGGUGUCAGGGAAGUAUGAAGCCCAGUUCCUGCCACAAGGUUCACACCCAAUGAAUGGUCACUGUUAUUACACAGGAUGGUAGGCUUGUGGUUUGUUUUUUCCCUCUAUUCUUUGGUCACUUUUCUAUAAGCAUAUUAUUUUUAGAAUCAGAAAAAAAAACUCAUGAAACAAAAGAAAUGUGAUGAGUGAUUUACAGGGAGCAAAGGGCAGAGAGAGAGAGACAGAAAGAGAGAGAGAGAGACAGAUGCUCUUUAGAAACCGUGGCUCUGGGCCCCGGAAUUUAAUCUGCAGUUAAGGAGGCUGAGAGAGGCAGGUGGGUGCACCCACAGGUCUCCUAACUGAGAACUUCCUGCCUUUGAGCCCACCUACUAGUCCCCAGGUUACAGAUCUCAG
rnacentral:lncRNA from 1 species